rnacentral:tRNA from 2 species
GCCGGAGUGGCGGAAUGGCAGACGCGAAGGAUUCAAAAUCCUUUGCCCGCAAGGGCGUGUGGGUUCAAGUCCCACCUCCGGUA